GACGAACGCUGGCGGCGUGCUUAACACAUGCAAGUCGAACGGAAAGGCCCUGCUUUUGUGGGGUGCUCGAGUGGCGAACGGGUGAGUAACACGUGAGUAACCUGCCCUUGACUUUGGGAUAACUUCAGGAAACUGGGGCUAAUACCGGAUAGGAGCUCCUGCUGCAUGGUGGGGGUUGGAAAGUUUCGGCGGUUGGGGAUGGACUCGCGGCUUAUCAGCUUGUUGGUGGGGUAGUGGCUUACCAAGGCUUUGACGGGUAGCCGGCCUGAGAGGGUUACCGGCCACAUUGGGACUGAGAUACGGCCCAGACUCCUACGGGAGGCAGCAGUGGGGAAUAUUGCACAAUGGGCGGAAGCCUGAUGCAGCAACGCCGCGUGCGGGAUGACGGCCUUCGGGUGGUAAACCGCUUUCGCCUGUGACGAAGCGUGAGUGACGGUAAUGGGUAAAGAAGCACCGGCUAACUACGUG
rnacentral:rRNA from 1 species